rnacentral:rRNA from 1 species
CCUACGGGAGGCAGCAGUGGGGAAUAUUGGACAAUGGGGGGAACUCUGAUCCAGCGACGCCGCGUGAGUGAAGAAGGCUUUCGGUAUGUUAAGCUCUAUUAGUAGGGAAGUAAGACAUGACGGUACCUGACUAUGAAGCCCCGGCUAACUACGUGCCAGCAGCCGCGGUAAUACGUAGGGGGCAAGCGUUAUCCGGAUUUACUGGGUGUAAAGGGAGCGUGGACGGCGAUGCAAGUCAGAAGUGAAAGGGGGGGGCUCAACCCCCAGACUGCUUUGGAUACUGUAUGGCUGGAGUGCAGGUGAGGUAAGUGGAAUUCCUAGUGUAGCGGUGAAAUGCGUAGAUAUUAGGAGGAACACCAGUGGCGAAGGCGGCUUACUAGACUGUAACUGACGUUGAGGCUCGAAAGCGUGGGGAGCAAACAGGAUUAGAUACCCCUGUAGUC